rnacentral:misc_RNA from 1 species
AUCAACCGAGCGGUGGAUGCCUCAAAAAGCCAGGGAAAAUAAGCACCGAGGAAAAGGCAGUGCUUGAGAUGCUACAGGAUAAUGCACCGUCUCCACCUUUUUUUAAAUAGACUGCUAGCUUUAGACAAAAAUGAGUGUGUGUCUAAAGCGUAAUAAGAUAAUCUAAAAAAAAACACCAUCAGCGAAUAGAAAAUCGGAAUCCGUGCUAUUUAAAACUCAUAAAUAAAGAAUAAAAAAUAAAAUAAAGUUCUACAAGGCUGUCACAGGGCUAUCGAUCUAAAGUCAAAUAAAAUUGCUUAUAGAUAAAGCGUGGACAAUCGAGUGCCCAUACCUAGAUAUCGUUAAUUAAA